rnacentral:tRNA from 1 species
GCACAAGUAGCUCAGCUUUAGAGCACCGGUCUUGUAAACCGAAGGUCGGAGGUUAAAAUCCUCCCUUUUGCU